CAGCUAGUUGGUAAGGUAACGGCUUACCAAGGCUACGAUGUUUAGGGGAUCUGAGAGGAUGACCCCCCACACUGGUACUGAGACACGGACCAGACUCCUACGGGAGGCAGCAGUAAGGAAUAUUGGUCAAUGGGCGCAAGCCUGAACCAGCCAUGCCGCGUGCAGGAAGACGGCCCUACGGGUUGUAAACUGCUUUUAUACCGGAAUAAACCUCUUUACGUGUAAGGAGCUGAAUGUACGGUAAGAAUAAGGAUCGGCUAACUCCGUGCCAGCAGCCGCGGUAAUACGGAGGAUCCAAGCGUUAUCCGGAUUUAUUGGGUUUAAAGGGUGCGUAGGCGGCCAAUUAAGUCAGGGGUGAAAGACGGUAGCUUAACUAUCGCAGUGCCUUUGAUACUGAUUGGCUUGAAUGUACUUGAGGUAGGCGGAAUGUGACAAGUAGCGGUGAAAUGCAUAGAUAUGUCACAGAACACCAAUUGCGAAGGCAGCUUACUAAAGUAUGAUUGACGCUGAGGCACGAAAGCGUGGGGAUCAAACAGGAUUAGAUACCCUGGUAGUCCA
rnacentral:rRNA from 1 species